rnacentral:misc_RNA from 1 species
UUAAAAAAAAAAAAAAUUGAAAGGACAAUCACUAGCAUCCAAACAAUCCUACACAAAAGUUAAACAGACCGAAAACCCAUCAAUGAAAGACCCCCAAGGUUGAUUUCUGGGUUCACUAUACACAAGUAUCAGCAUAUCAAAAUAUUAAAAUAUCCCAAAUCCUCUUUCUCUUUCUUUAUAAUGAAACUACAUUUAAAAUAUAUUCCUAGCUAUUUUGCUAUUAUGAUUCAAAUUUGAAUUCUGAAAUAGUGCAGAGAAAUGGGAAAUGAAGGUUAUGGAGUAAUAACUUCUCUUACUAAGAACUAUCUAAAUUUAGAGAGAAAAGGAGAUGAUGACUUGGCUAGCACUAAAGCACCUUCAAAGUUCAAGGUUUCAACACCAAACGUACAUAAUUUGGCAAUCUUCCAAUUAAAGAAUUGCAAGAAACCAAUCUCUUAGAGUCGUAGUAUUUUAUAUUAGAGCUUGAGUGACAAGUCAAGCUUUUGCAAAUCUUCUUGUUUAGUCUUCAAAUGGUUAACACCAGCAUCGCACCAGUAUCCACCAAUUCUUUCCCCAGCCGGGGAAAAUUUUUCUGCAAUUUCAAAUCUUGCAACCCCAUUACUAGGAAAUGAUCCCAUAUUUGUUCCCGUAUGAAAGCUGUCCGAUGCCAGCCUCCCAACUGCCGGUUGCUGAUCAAUAGGUUGUCUAGACCAUCCAUUUUGCCCAUAAAUAUUUGAAGAACCAAUGGUGGAAAAUGGUACAAAAGUUGGCUUGUGGAUCAUGGAGUGCACCUGGAUUCCAAGUGAUCUAUUUAAGGAUCCAUGCAAAGGAAGGGAGGCCAUGCUAGUGUAUCGAUUUAGGUGUGAGUUAGGGUGAUGACCAAGACCGAAAGAGCCUGCACUGAUUCUUUGUCCACGUUUAGCUAGUGUUCUUUCUCUCUUAUGUGCAUUUUGGUGACCCCCAAGCGCCUGUGAGCUAUAAAAUUUUCUUUGACAAUAGUUGCAUGAGAAUAUUCGAGGCUCGGUUUCAUUACCUUGAGGAGUAUCCAAGGACGACUUCUGCGAUGAUUCCAUGUCAAAAGAAUUGAUGAGAUUGAGCUUUGGCUUGGAAUCUUUGCCAGAGAGGCUUAGAUCCAAUACAAGAUCAUGACUGGUGUCUUCUUGGUGCUUUUGGUCUCUUUCUUCUUCUUCUUCAUCAUCAUCUUCUUCUUCAUUCAAACCCCCCGCUUCAGUUUCCAAUUCACCAUCAUCCCAGCCCUCUUCCAUAUCCGCGACCACAUCUUCUCGAUCAUCACCAUCGCCAUCAUCCUCAAUCCAAUCAGUGAACUCAUUCUCAUUACUAUUAUGAUCAUCAUCAUCAUCUGGUGCAUCACAGCCCAUCUCCAUUUCCUCCAACUUAGCCUUCCACUCCUUGGUAUACGGAUGCAACAACAGCACCGGAUGGUUCAUGAGCAAGAACUCCAAACACAAAGACUUCUUCUCAUCGCUCAACUUCUCAUAUGCAUUCACCACAUCAUCCACGAACGCCUUCCGACUCACCUUCACAAUCUUACACAAGCCUUCAAAAUAUGUACACAUUUCCACAUUCCCACCAUCCUCUUCAUUCCUCAGCUCACACAUAAAAUCUCUCUCCGUUUUUGGAUCCAACAAUGGCGUCAAAGCCCUGAAAAAAUCCACUUGAGGCUCAAACCUACAUUGAUAAACUGGCCUCUUGACAUAGAUAAUAUCUGGCCUAAACCAAGCAGCACACUGUGUUAUCAAUUCUCUAGUUUGAUUCCCUAAUCUAGCCAUCAAAUUCCACUUAUCUAUCCUCUGUUUACCAGCCUCCAGAACUACUUCACUCACCAAUGUCCACUGCUGCCAUGGCUGUUCACUUAGUCUCCAUUUUGGGUGCCUAACAAACACCCAAUAAUGCCUAAAGCCUACAUUUUUAUCCAAUUUUUUCAAUCUCUCUCCAAAAUCAACCUCCAUUUCAAAUUGCUCAAUCUUCUCCCAUUCUUCUUGGUCUCUGACUUCGCUAUACAUGGUUACCCGCUCAUCAGUGAAACGACCUGCUAUUGGAUCACCAAGAACCACUCCCCGCCAGGAGUAAGGCCCGAACUCGCCGUAUUUGUACCAAUCAUAGGGGUGUUUGAGAUUCGGGUCGUCCUUAUCCAUGAACCUGACCAUCCGGUCGUACCCGAGACCAAUUAAGUUCAGCUCCUCCUCUGAGAAGUUAUCGGCGUAGUUCUUGUUCGGGUUUUUCAGCCGAUAAAAGAAGGACUCCGCCAGCUUGCGAGACUUCUGCCGCGCACUGCGCUUAACUUGCCGCAGGUACUCAGGGUUCCCCUCGAUUCUACCCGGGGAGGUCCCUCCGGGUUUCUUCUUGCUCCGGCCGGCGAAUGCACGUAUUUCUCCUCGAGAAGAGGCAUUCCGGCGGGAAAGCGAUACAGUAGAUAGCAAUCGGGGUUUAAGGGCUAGGGCUUUGGGUUGGAUUGGGAAGGGAGAGAACGUAGGGUUUAGGGUUCUAGAGAAGGAAAGAUCUUGAGCCAUCAACAUUUGUCCGAAU